rfam:Cajanus cajan CcLG10_22, whole genome shotgun sequence.
GGAUCAUGAGGCGAUGUGAGUGGGUCUAUGCAACCAGCUGGGCUCAGGAAAGUCCCCGGGCCCCUGCUGCAGAGAUGCAGACUCGGAAACGAGUACUUGGAGCUGGGAUUUGCCUCGUCUAUAUGGCGAGGGGCUGAGACACGUGUGGAGCCUUCGCAAAUUCCGCCCAAGAGAUUGGCCGAUAUCACAGUCAUUCACAUGGUCUCUACAGACUAACCGAACGGGGCUUACACCCUCGUGAUC